GACGAACGCUGGCGGCGUGCUUAACACAUGCAAGUCGAGCGGUAAGGCCCUUUCGGGGGUACGACGAGCGGCGAACGGGUGAGUAACACGUGGGUGACCUGCCUUUAGCUCUGGGAUAAGCCUGGGAAACUGGGUCUAAUACCGGAUAUGACUCCAUGAUGCAUGUUGUGGGGUGGAAAGCCUUGUGCGGCUGGAGAUGGGCCCGCGGCCUAUCAGCUUGUUGGUGGGGUGAUGGCCUACCAAGGCGACGACGGGUAGCCGGCCU
rnacentral:rRNA from 1 species